rnacentral:rRNA from 1 species
GACGAACGCUGGCGGCGUGCUUAACACAUGCAAGUCGAACGAAGAGCGACGGAAGCUUGCUUCUAUCAAUCUUAGUGGCGAACGGGUGAGUAACGCGUAAUCAACCUGCCCUUCAGAGGGAGACAACAGUUGGAAACGACUGCUAAUACCGCAUACGAUCUAAUCUCGGCAUCGAGGAUGGAUGAAAGGUGGCCUCUACAUGUAAGCUAUCACUGAAGGAGGGGAUUGCGUCUGAUUAGCUAGUUGGAGGGGUAACGGCCCACCAAGGCGAUGAUCAGUAGCCGGUCUGAGAGGAUGAACGGCCACAUUGGGACUGAGACACGGCCCAGACUCCUACGGGAGGCAGCAGUGGGGAAUCUUCCGCAAUGGACGAAAGUCUGACGGAGCAACGCCGCGUGAGUGAUGACGGCCUUCGGGUUGUAAAGCUCUGUUAAUCGGGACGAAAGGCCUUCUUGCGAAUAGUGAGAAGGAUUGACGGUACCGGAAUAGAAAGCCACGGCUAACUACGUG